rnacentral:scRNA from 1 species
GGAGCCUGACGAGACUACUGAGGCCGUUCUGUC